AAUUUUAAGGAAGAAUUAAUAAAUCAAUUAAAAGAUAAAAAACAAGAACUGGAGGAUAUAAGGAAAGAAAAGAUGAAGGGUAAAUUAAUACGUUCAAGGGUAAAAUGGAUUGAGGAAGGAGAAAAGCCAACUAAAUAUUUUUGUGGUCUUGAGUCAAAAAAUUUUACUAGUAAAAUUAUACCAAAAGUCGAAACAGAAGAUGGAA
rnacentral:lncRNA from 1 species